rnacentral:rRNA from 1 species
AUUGAACGCUGGCGGCAGGCUUAACACAUGCAAGUCGAGCGGGGGAAGGUAGCUUGCUACCGGACCUAGCGGCGGACGGGUGAGUAAUGCUUAGGAAUCUGCCUAUUAGUGGGGGACAACAUCUCGAAAGGGAUGCUAAUACCGCAUACGUCCUACGAGAGAAAGCAGGGGAUCUUCGGACCUUGCGCUAAUAGAUGAGCCUAAGUCGGAUUAGCUAGUUGGUGAGGUAAAGGCCUACCAAGGCGACGAUCUGUAGCGGGUCUGAGAGGAUGAUCCGCCACACUGGGACUGAGACACGGCCCAGACUCCUACGGGAGGCAGCAGUGGGGAAUAUUGGACAAUGGGGGGAGCCCUGAUCCAGCCAUGCCGCGUGUGUGAAGAAGGCCUUAUGGUUGUAAAGCACUUUAAGCGAGGAGGAGGCUACUCUAGUUAAUACCUAGGGAUAGUGGACGUUACUCGCAGAAUAAGCACCGGCUAACUCUGUGCCAGCAGCCGCCGCAG